CCUACGGGAGGCUGCAGUGGGGGAUAUUGCACAAUGGGGGGAACCCUGAUGCAGCGACGCCGCGUGGGUGAAGAAGCGCCUCGGCGCGUAAAGCCCUGUCAGCAGGGAAGAAAAUGACGGUACCUGAAGAAGAAGCCCCGGCUAACUACGUGCCAGCAGCCGCGGUAAUACGUAGGGGGCAAGCGGUAUCCGGAUUUACUGGGUGGAAAGGGGGCGUAGACGGCGAUGCAAGCCAGGAGUGAAAGCCCGGGGCCCAACCCCGGGACUGCUCUUGGAACUGCGUGGCUGGAGUGCAGGAGGGGUAGGCGGAAUGCCUGGUGUAGCGGUGAAAUGCGUAGAUAUCAGGAGGAACACCGGUGGCGAAGGCGGCCUGCUGGACUGCAACUGACGUUGAGGCCCGAAAGCGUGGGGAGCAAACAGGAUUAGAUACCCUAGUAGUC
rnacentral:rRNA from 1 species